rnacentral:rRNA from 1 species
UACGGGGGGGGCAAGCGUUGUUCGGAAUUACUGGGCGUAAAGGGCGCGUAGGCGGCCUUCUAAGUCGAACGUGAAAUCCCCGGGCUCAACCCGGGAACUGCGUCCGAUACUGGAAGGCUUGAAUCCGGGAGAGGGAUGUGGAAUUCCAGGUGUAGCGGUGAAAUGCGUAGAUAUCUGGAGGAACACCGGUGGCGAAGGCGACAUCCUGGACCGGUAUUGACGCUGAGGCGCGAAAGCCAGGGGAGCAAACAGGG